rnacentral:misc_RNA from 1 species
UUGUGACUCCGGUUCUUUGAAUAAAACACCUGUGUUUUUGCUGUAUGUCUGUCUGUCAGUAUCGGAUACUAGCCAGAAUGUCUACUGAAAAAGAAACACUUCGACAGCGUAGCCAGCCGGUACCAGGGGGACAACAAGCCCCACCAGCUCAGCCCCCAUCGGGCUUCCCACCCCACUCACAGGGCGCUAAUCCAAACGAGCACAUGCCGCCGCCAUUGCACGGGGCUAACCUUCCAUCACAACCACAGAACCUACCACAAGGUGGCUAUCAACAACAGCCGCAAUAUAUAUACCCACAAGUACCACAAUACGUUUUGCCCCAGAACCCUUCGUUGUCACAGCAACCACCUACGGGAUACAUUCGUUACAAUCUUAACCACCCAGUUAUGUUUUGUUCGACGCCAGCUCCAAAGAAAUCCAUUUUAGAGGCUUAUCUGCUACUGAUUGUGCUGGGCUUAUUCGGAGGACACCAUUUCUACCUUAGACGUCCUGUAUGGGGUAUUUUGUACUUUUUCUCCUUCGGAUUACUUGGCGCAGGAUGGCUGAUUGAUAUUUUUAGACUUCCGGUUUUGGUAUCACGAUGUAAUAACGACGCUUCACAACAAAACCCAAACCUAGCUAAGAAAAAGCAUCUAGAUGACGCAUAUGUGCUCUGGUUUCCAGGCGGUUUUCUAGGUCUUCAUCAUUUCUACUUGAAUAACAUUGGCCUCGGAGUUCUAUAUUUGUUCACUUUCGGACUCUUCGGUGUUGGUUGGUUAAUUGAUGCCUGUCUGAUGCCAUACCAUGUUAAGAAAGCCAACUCAAACAUUCCAGAUUGCAUUGAGAAAAGUGCAGCCGCAACUUGCAUCCUAGCUGUUUCUCCUGCGGGACUUCUCGGGGCUCAUCAUUACUAUUUGAAUAGAAUCGGGUUCGGGCUUCUGUAUACUUUCACUUUCGGUAUUUUCGGUGUUGGUUACAUUGUUGAUUGGUGUCGUUUCCCAAUCUUGCUCAAGCGCUAUAACAAAAGUAAAGAAAUUGGUCACACUUCUCACAAACACCUUGAUGACGCCUAUCUCCUCUGGUUUCCACUCGGAUUCCUCGGGUUUCAUCAUUUCUACCUAAACAGACCUGUUUGGGGGCUUCUGUACAUGUUUACCUUCGGUUUGCUCGGCAUUGGGUGGCUGAUUGAUUUAUGCCGGAUGUGGAAGUUGGUAGAAAAUUGUAACAAAGAAAUCGAUGAAAGAGUGCAUCUUACCCGGAAUAAUCGGAGUGUAGCUAAUCCCAACUAUAUUCAAGGACAGUAUUAUGGCAACAUGCCGACAACAACUGGUAAGAAAAUAAAUGUGAAUGUUACAAAUUAUAAACCUCUUCAUAAAUAUGUAUAAAACCCAUUUUCAGUGCUGCAAAAGUAUGAUAAUACACUUAAUGCCGUUUAUAAAUCUGUUGGUAACUAGUCUCUGUUAUCCAAAUUAUUUCUUCGUGAAUGUACAGAUUUCUUUUUGUAAUCUAUGUUUUACCCAUUUUAAUGGCUUCCUUAUAUCUUAAAUCUAGUUGGAGGUCAUGUGCCGGUCAGCUACGGUCAGUUUGGUCCCUGUCCACCGGGAUAUUCCAACCCAAAUCCGGGGAUUUAUCCAACACAACAAAACGGAUAUGGUGCAGUUCAUGGAAUGAAUGAACAACCCCCUCCAUACGAGGCCGCGUCAAUUCCUACCAAAGGUCACUAGUUCAAAGGUCAAGGUCGCGAUAUAAUGGCCUUUAUGCAAUCGACGUCACUAGCGUCCAAAGUUUGUUUUGGAAUUUGUUACAGGUGUAUUUGAUAUUUUUAGGAUUAAGAAAGUGUCUGAACUUUCUAGUGUGGGAACUUUGUAUAAUGCAUACAUCAGAUGUUAUUUAUAGCUAUAUCCGAUGUUGAAACUCAUUUUAUCAUCAUUUAAAAUUAUGAUUGACGGACCUGUUUUAUAAUAGCAUGGCUUGUUCAAAUUGCUACAAAUAUGUCUGAGCUAGAAGAUAAAUAUAGCAUAGACUUACUUUCAAAAGAAACCUGUUUUAGAAUAAAUUGAUGUUUUAAAAUAGUUUUAAUACAAAUAUUUUUUAUUGAUUAAAGUAAAGUUUAAUUUUUAGUACAAUAACGAUUAUAUAGCCUAUCUGUAUGUUACAUGUACGUUUCGCUUGAGCAAUAAAAGUGGUUUAUUGUGUUU